rnacentral:rRNA from 1 species
UACAGAGGUCCCGAGCGUUGUUCGGAUUCAUUGGGCGUAAAGGGUGCGUAGGCGGUUUCCUAAGUUUGAUGUGAAAUCCCGGGGCUUAACCCUGGAAUUGCAUUGAAUACUGGGAGACUAGAGUACUGGAGAGGAAACUGGAAUUUACGGUGUAGCAGUGAAAUGCGUAGAGAUCGUAAGGAAGACCAGUGGCGAAGGCGAGUUUCUGGACAGUUACUGACGCUGAGCACGAAGGCCAGGGGAGCAAACGGG